GGGAUUGCCUCAGUAACGGCGAGUGAAGCGGCAAGAGCUCAAAUUUGAAAGCUGGCUCCUUCGGGGUCCGCAUUGUAAUUUGCAGAGGAUGCUUCGGGUGCGGCCCCUGUCUAAGUGCCCUGGAACGGGCCGUCAGAGAGGGUGAGAAUCCCGUCUGGGAUGGGGUGUCCGCGCCCGUGUGAAGCUCCUUCGACGAGUCGAGUUGUUUGGGAAUGCAGCUCUAAAUGGGUGGUAAAUUUCAUCUAAAGCUAAAUACUGGCCGGAGACCGAUAGCGCACAAGUAGAGUGAUCGAAAGAUGAAAAGCACUUUGAAAAGAGAGUUAAAAAGCACGUGAAAUUGUUGAAAGGGAAGCGCUUGCGACCAGACUCGCCUCCAGGGUUCAGCCGGCAUUCGUGCCGGUGUACUUCCCUGGGGGCGGGCCAGCGUCGGUUUGGGCGGCCGGUCAAAGGCUCCCGGAAUGUAGUGCCCUCCGGGGCACCUUAUAGCCGGGAGUGCAAUGCGGCCAGCCUGGACCGAGGAACGCGCUUCGGCACGGACGCUGGCAUAAUGGUCGUAAACG
rnacentral:rRNA from 1 species